AUUGAACGCUGGCGGCAGGCCUAACACAUGCAAGUCGAACGAGUGGCGGACGGGUGAGUAAUGUCUGGGAAACUGCCUGAUGGAGGGGGAUACCUACUGGAAACGGUAGCUAAUACCGCAUACCAUCAGAUGUGCCCAGAUGGGAUUAGCUUGUGGGGGGGGUAACGGCUCACAAAGGCGACGAGCCCUAGCUGGGCGGAGAGGAUGACCAGCAACACUGGAACGGAGCAACGGUCCAGACUCCUACGGGGGGCAGCAUUGGGGAAUAUUGCACAAUGGGCGCAAGCCUGAUGCAGCCAGGCCGCGUGUAUGAAGAAGGCCUUCGGGUUGUAAAGUACUUUCAGCGGGGAGGCGUUACCCGCAGAAGAAGCACCGGCUAACUCCGUGCCAGCAGCCGCGGUAAUUC
rnacentral:rRNA from 1 species